AUUACGAGGCUUGUUCUGUGUUCAUGUUGGCAGGACUGUAACCUUAGCUAAUGAUCGAUGUUUUCAUGUUGGUAAGACCGUAACCUUGGCUUCUGUUCGGUGUAUAAUGUUGGUACGGCAGUCAUGGCCUCUCUUCUGCCCUGUUCCUUCGUCGACGGAGGUCACUACAAGUUCUGUAUGAGUUCGAAGUUUGUUUUAAUAAAUAAAUAGUCCACUGUAGUGGGACAUACGCCCAUUCAAGGAAGAAUUCUCUACGCGGAGUCCGGUAGCUGUCAAGAACGCAACGCAUGACAACAAAUACUGUGUCACAGAGAGAAUUUUAUCGCGAUCAAAACAGCGUUUACGAACGACAACAGAGAACUGGAGCUGUUCCAGAAGGUUCGCAGUGUGCUCAACAAACGCACGCCUUAGAAGUUUGACAGACUUGUUUCCCAGGUCCAGGCUCUGCCAAUUGACAGCAGCGAUCGCCUGAAGGGUGUCACCGACGUCAUAUUUGAAAAGAUUAUCCACACUCCUGCAGUAAAAGCGAGGGCAUAACUCUGAUAGCCGACAUCCACAUGCGAGUUGAAGUGCCUUCAAGAGAGCUGGUAUUUUAGAAGUCCCAGACGAGCGUCCAGGACUCCUGACGUGGGGUGUGGUAUUGUUUCACAACCUUACCAUUGUUUGAAUGGACCACUUGGGUUGUACUAGGAGUCAUCUCUGUUUGGGGUAAUAUAACAUUACAAAUUACAUCAAAUACUUGGUGGCUGUAUAAUGAGUUGCCACUCAAAAUGCAGUGUAUUGCAUUAAAUACAAGUGACCACUGCCACAAGUUAUAUAUUUGAGAUAACUUACCCAUUAAGCUUGUUUCAGAACAUGGUCCUAAAGGUGAUAUUUGGAACAAAGAAAAUAGUAACAGGAAAAUCAUACAGAAUGAGAUUUAUGAUUUGUACGCUUAUCCUGAUGAUGUUAUAGCAAUUAAAUCAAGGGAAUGAGAUGUUAGGACCAUAUAGCACUCACAGGAAAGAUGAUAGGAGUGUACAAAAUUUUAAUUUGAAAGUUUUUAGAGAAGAGUGCAAUGGAAAGACAUAGGCACAGAUAAGAGGAUAACAUUAGAUUGGAUUGCACAGAGAAACAGUGUGAAUUGGCUGAGGAUUUGGUACAGUGGUGGACUACUGUGAGCAUGGUUCUCAAUCUUCAUUUUCCGUCAAAAUAGCAAAUAUCUUGACUUUCUUGAGUUAUGUACUGUCAACAUCUCAGGAAUGGCUGCACCACGGAGUAUUUAAUAUCUGGACGCAAAAUUACAGCACACUUUCUAGCAGUCAACUAUUUUACAUAAACCUAAGCUAGUUUUAUCUGCCUCCCAUCUUCACAGAGUACAGGGAUACAUUCAGUCAGUCAGGUGCUGCUUUUCAGGUUUUCUAACCAGAAAUUCUGUAUGCAUUUUUGUGUGGUGGUAGUACUUCAUUCCUAACUCAGACUCUGCCCCUACGACUGUGACUGUGUAAUUUUAAGUUUAGUUCCAUGCAGUAAAUGCUAGAACAAGAUUAAAUUUUCAACAGCCCUCUGAACUAACCACCUCCAUGGAGCAGUCAUCCUUGAUAAGUUCAUAGUACACUCAGCUAUUCAAGAAAUGAAGCUGAAGCUUCAUUGCCAUGUUCACAAGUGCCCACCACUGGUCCCUCUUCUGAGCCAGAUGAAUCCAGUCCACACCUCCGACUCCUGUUUUCCUAAUAUCCAUUGUGAUAUCUUUCAUAGUCUUCACAGAUAUUAAGUAAAUUGCUAGCUAAUUACUUUGGCUGGUUGUGGAAGUUGCCAUCUGGGUGGUACAUACAGCACUUUAAAAUAUAACAUGUCAUUAUGUAUUUUACCUUACUACCAUUCAUGAUUAUGAGCCGGGAUAGCUCAGUCAGUAUAGUGACUGGCUACGGGCUGGACGACCGGGAUU